UUAUUACUCCCUCUGAUCCGUAUUACUUGUCGCUGGAACGGAUGUAUCUAGAUGUAUUUCAGUGCUAGAUACAUCUGUUUGAGCGACAAAUAAUAUGGAUUGGAGGGAGUAACUG
rnacentral:pre_miRNA from 1 species